AAAUACUUAUGUUUCUCUCUCAGCAAUCUCAACCCAGAGAAAAAUACAGAGGAAAAUGGAAUGUCUCUGCAGAACGAUAACUUCGAAGAGAUCAUAAAUCUACCUAUUGGUUCUAAACCAUCCCGGCUGGAUGCCCUGAACAACGAUGGAAGCGACAGUCCCGGAAUUCCUCUGAAUCCAAUUUUAGCUUUUGAAGAUAAGGGGACUCUUUUGCCUCAGGUAGACAGUGUUCAAACACAUCAAACAGCAGAAGUGAUCUGAUUACUUCUUCUGAAGAACCAAAGGUGACAAAAACGUCUCUGCAGUCAGUGGGAGUUUCUUCCAUGCAAUGAAGGAGUGUUUUAUUUUUCUCUCCAGGUUUUUUAAAGAUUUCUUGAACAUCUUUCUUUUUUUUUUUGGAAGGACUUUAGUAAAACCAGCAGAAGAAAUGAUGGACAUAGACUUGGGUCACCUUUCUAAUAGUUUUCAUCACUAGGAAAAUCAUGCUUCACGUGCAUUACUUAAUAUGGCUUUUUCCAAUGAGCUUUUUCUGUUAGUAAAUGGAUAUUUCUGCAUUCCUGAAAACACAAGACACUGGAAUCUGAAAGCAAUGGGCUGAUUUGGGUAGUGGGACUUACUCUUUUUUGUUCCUCUUUUUUCAGGUGGGUGUUGGUUUAAAAGGCAUAAUUGUAAAAUUGGCAAAGAAUCUUUUACACUUUGUGGUUCUGAUACUUGAAAAUUAAAUACUUCAUUGCUCUACGAGUAGAGUUAAUGAGGUGUUUUAUUUAAACCUGUUGGUUUAAAUAUUAUUGCAGAGAACUCUAAUUAUGGGGGCAGAGUAUCGGCUUCUGUAUCAGGUUCUUAUAAAUGUAAUUCCUACAGGGACGUUCUGUAAAUUGAGAUGUCACUAUGAUCUUCUCACAUUUUCUCUAAAAACACAAAAUGAGGCAGGUUUUAAAAUGUGAAAAUUUGAAAGCAUUAUUUUUUCAUGGACAAGAGGAAAACCUAUUGUUCUCCUAGAUGAUGUAUUUAUGAAUUUUGUUCAGUACAGAAAUAAAUUGUUUAAUUGAAUAAAUUAGAAAAAUGUAAUAAAAUGGUACUGCAAACUUGAUUAUUUUUUGUUACAUUCACGUUCACAGUACUAUAAACGAUGUGCACAGGGAGUAACCUUGUUCUAAGUCCUGUAAAUUGCUGCUGUUCCCAAUGAUGGAAGACUUUUCCUUUGCCUUAUCAGACAAUUGAAGACUGUGUGAAACCUGAAAUAGUUGAUUUUUUGAUGAUAAAGCAGGUUUGGGGAAUUUUGUGGUUUUGCUCGUUUCAGAGCAAAUGGAAAAUGGUCAUUGUUUGUGCUUUGUAUGUAGCGUGUGAUUUUUAUAAUGCACUACAGUUUGAGUGAUAAGAGGAGCAAUGCAGGUUGCUUUCUCUUUAGUUUGAUGCUGAUUUCUACCAUCAUUAUGCCAUCCCUCACUUUCAGUUGUUGUUGAGCAGAACAGUAACAUUGUGCACCUUUCUAUGCUGUGAUAAACCGUGCUGUUGCAGGCAGAACUCAUGGGGUAUUUGAGUUGGAAACAUCAACCAGGGCUUCAUGCGUUGUUUGUUGAAGUCCCUGAAGAUCCAUAGCAGUGGAAAUGGGGGUUAUGGGGUUUUGGUUUGUGCUGACAGAGAAUGGCUGCUCAGAUUCCUGCACUUGCCUUUAGUGAGCACUGAGCUAGGCUUAUAGGAAGCUGUGCAGAAAGUCUGUGCUUGCAGAAGAAAUCUUCUGAGACAAAAAAGUAGAAGAGUUCUUGAAGAAAUGACUUUCUGCUGCUGCCAAGUGUUCAUCCUACACAGGAGAUGGGAUAAAAGCAAUGGAAAAGCAAAGAAAAAGAGACUUAUCUGCCAGAAUACAUGGAAGCUAUUCAGUCAGAAUGCUUUCAAUAAUAGUUCGUGACACAGUAAAAUUAAUUGGGUUCCAUUCUCGCUUUCUUUAAUUUUUCAUGUACAUAGCCACAAUAUUUUAAAGUGUCCAAAAUAUGUAGUUUUCCUUUAAACCUUUAUAGCAUGUGAGUACCAAAUAAAACUUGUUUGAAAUAUU